rnacentral:rRNA from 1 species
GACGAACGCUGGCGGCGUGCUUAACACAUGCAAGUCGAACGGAAAGGCCCUGCUUUUGUGGGGUGCUCGAGUGGCGAACGGGUGAGUAACACGUGAGUAACCUGCCCUUGACUUUGGGAUAACUUCAGGAAACUGGGGCUAAUACCGGAUAGGAGCUCCUGCUGCAUGGUGGGGGUUGGAAGGUUUCGGCGGUUGGGGAUGGACUCGCGGCUUAUCAGCUUGUUGGUGGGGUAGUGGCUUACCAAGGCUUUGACGGGUAGCCGGCCUACGAGGGUGACCGGCCACAUUGGGACUGAGAUACGGCCCAGACUCCUACGGGAGGCAGCAGUGGGGAAUAUUGCACAAUGGGCGGAAGCCUGAUGCAGCAACGCCGCGUGCGGGAUGACGGCCUUCGGGUUGUAAACCGCUUUCGCCUGUGACGAAGCGUGAGUGACGGUAAUGGGUAAAGAAGCACCGGCUAACUACGUG